GCCAGACUCCUACGGGAGGCAGCAGUGAGGAAUAUUGGUCAAUGGGCGCGAGCCUGAACCAGCCAAGUCGCGUGAGGGAUGACGGUCCCACGGAUUGUAAACCUCUUUUGCCGGGGAGCAAGCGUGCGUUCGUGAACGCGCGUCGAGAGUACCCGGAGAAAAAGCAUCGGCUAACUCCGUGCCAGCAGCCGCGGUAAUACGGAGGAUGCGAGCGUUAUCCGGAUUUAUUGGGUUUAAAGGGUGCGCAGGCGGAAUGUCAAGUCAGCGGUAAAAUUUCGGGGCUCAACCCCGUCGUGCCGUUGAAACUGGCGUUCUUGAGUGAGCGAGAAGUAUGCGGAAUGCGUGGUGUAGCGGUGAAAUGCAUAGAUAUCACGCAGAACUCCGAUUGCGAAGGCAGCGUACCGGCGCCCAACUGACGCUCAUGCACGAAAGCGUGGGUAUCGAACAGGAUUAGAUACCCCGGUA
rnacentral:rRNA from 1 species